rnacentral:misc_RNA from 1 species
UCUCCGUUGGUGAACCAGCGGAGGGAUCAUUACAGGACUCGCAAGACUCCUACAACCCUGUGAACUUAACUAUAAGCACGUUGCUUCGGCGGGUGUCUCGGAGGGGGUUCUCCCUCCCUGAGACGCUAAACCCGCCGGCAGCCUACUAUACUCUGUCUCUUUGCGUUGGCAUCUCGAGUACAAUCAAACAAGUUAAAACUUUCAACAACGGAUCUCUUGGUUCUG